rnacentral:rRNA from 1 species
UAGGGAAUCUUCCGCAAUGGACGCAAGUCUGACGGAGCAACGCCGCGUGAGUGAAGAAGGAUUUCGGUUCGUAAAACUCUGUUGUUAGAGAAGAACAGCGCAUAGAGUAACUGUUAUGCGUGUGACGGUAUCUAACCAGAAAGCCACGGCUAACUACGUGCCAGCAGCCGCGGUAAUACGUAGGUGGCAAGCGUUGUCCGGAUUUAUUGGGCGUAAAGCGAGCGCAGGCGGUCAAUUAAGUCUGAUGUGAAAGCCCCCGGCUCAACCGGGGAGGGUCAUUGGAAACUGGUUGACUUGAGUGCAGAAGAGGAGAGUGGAAUUCCAUGUGUAGCGGUGAAAUGCGUAGAUAUCGGGAAGAACACCAAUGGCGAAGGCAGGUCUCUGGGCUGUUACUGACGCUGAGAAGCGAAAGCGUGGGGAGCGAACAGG